AAGAGUGCACCUCCAUAUUGAAAAAUGAUUCCUAUUCUCUUUCCCCUGUAGUAAAUAUGAGGGGAUUUUUCUCUGAUGUUUACUUCGAGAACCUGGUUGAGCUUCUGAUGAUACAACUCACAAAAGCAUGAGACCCAUAUGCACAGGCCUCCUGGAGGUUUCAACUCUCAGACGUGGCCACACCUCACUGCAGCAAUUUGUCAAUUCCAGUUCAGGUUUAAGAAGAACUGCUGAUUUUUCAGUUUGCUCAGCUUUUUACCUGUGAGGAGGGAGUGACAAUUCUCAAGAUUAUCAUCAAAUCCAGUUCAGACCGGGCGCAAUUCAUGUGCUCAGCCACCGCAUGUG